GUGCUUGCUGCAGCAGCAUGUAUACUAAAACUGGAAUGAUACAGAGAAGAUUAGCAUAGUCCUAGUUCAAGGAUGACAGGCACGUUCAUGAAACGUUAAACAAAAGA